GGAAACUUCCGUUCGUGGCUGGAAAUGCUAGUUACCUAUACCGUAUUAAUUUUAAGCCAAUUUGCUCUAAUUAAUCGUAUGUAAAAUUGAAAAUGGCUGGAGAAGUGAAGCAGAUAACCCUUCAAUAAUGUAGAGGGACACUCUUUCUACUUGCCCAAGUAGUCUGCUGGGGCAAUCAUGAUGUUUGCAGUUGGAAUUCAUUGUUAAUCAGCACUGUCAAUCAUUAAUCACCAUAUUACAUGUUUAAUUGUAUACCGUAUAACGCUUUAA